rnacentral:lncRNA from 1 species
CUUCCCAAAUUCUCAAGCAUUCACAACUUCAUUUACCUUUUUCUCAUUGCUCAAUUAUUACACUUUUUCACACAACUUAUUAGCAUGCAAACUUUUUUCUAUUUUUUUUACUUUUCAAUGCUUAUUAUUUUUCUUUUUUUUCUUUCUUUUUUAGGUUUAGGAAUCCCAAUGAUGGUUUGAUACGCUCUAACUGCCAGCUUGGCUAUAAAGCAACUUUCGUCGGGCGAGACCCUGCUUGUCGGGCAAGACAAUAAAU